GACGAACCGUGCGAACGUUGUUCGGAAUCACUGGGCUUAAAGGGCGCGUAGGCGGGCGGUUUUGUCGGGCGGUGAAAUCCUUCAGCUUAACUGGAGAAUGGCCGCCGAAACGGAUCGCCUCGAGGGAGGUAGGGGCAUGUGGAAUUCCCGGUGUAGCGGUGAAAUGCGCAGAUAUCGGGAGGAACACCAAUGGCGAAGGCAGCUCGCUGGGACGUUACUGACGCUGAGACGCGAAAGCGUGGGGAGCAAACAGG
rnacentral:rRNA from 1 species